AGUGAACGCUGGCGGUAGGCCUAACACAUGCGAGUCGAACGGCAGCACAGUAAGAGCUUGCUCUUACGGGUGGCGAGUGGCGGACGGGUGAGGAAUACAUCGGAAUCUACUUUUUCGUGGGGGAUAACGUAGGGAAACUUACGCUAAUACCGCAUACGACCUACGGGUGAAAGCAGGGGAUCUUCGGACCUUGCGCGAUUGAAUGAGCCGAUGUCGGAUUAGCUAGUUGGCGGGGUAAAGGCCCACCAAGGCGACGAUCCGUAGCUGGUCUGAGAGGAUGAUCAGCCACACUGGGACUGAGACACGGUCCAGACUCCUACGGGAGGCAGCAGUGGGGAAUAUUGGACAAUGGGCGCAAGCCUGAUCCAGCCAUACCGCGUGGGUGAAGAAGGCCUUCGGGUUGUAAAGCCCUUUUGUUGCGAAAGAAAAGCAGCAGGUUAAUACCCCGCUGUUCUGACGGUACCCAAAGAAUAAGCACCGGCUAACUUCGUG
rnacentral:rRNA from 1 species